rnacentral:rRNA from 1 species
UACGUAGGGGGCUAGCGUUGUCCGGAUUUAUUGGGCGUAAAGAGCGUGUAGGCGGCCAGGUAGGUCUGGUGUGAAAACUCGAGGCUUAACCUCGAGAUGUCAUCGGAAACCAUCUGGCUAGAGUCCGGAAGAGGAGAGUGGAAUUCCUGGUGUAGCGGUGAAAUGCGCAGAUAUCAGGAAGAACACCAAUGGCGAAAGCAGCUCUCUGGGACGGUACUGACGCUGAGCCGCGAAAGCCAGGGGAGCGAACGGG